ACUACAGAUUGACUUUGCAUAUUGCUGCCUAAUUUGUCUAUAACAAUUACCAAAUCCUUCUCGUGGGUUGUUAUCCCUAAUUCACUACCAUUUACGGUGUAAGUUGCUUGUGCAUUCUUGACCCCAAAGUGCAUAACUUUGCAUUUCUCUACAUUAAAUGUCAUCUGCCAUUUUAGUGCCCAGUCCCCCAAUCUAUCUAAAUCCCUCUGCAGCAAAGCAAUAUCCUGCUUACAUUCUAUUACUUUUACAAAGUUUUGUGUCAUCUGCAAACACUAAAACAUGGCUUUCAAUGCCUGUUGCAAGAUUAUUUAUAAAUAUUAGGGAUGUGAAUGCCCAAAAAAUUUGGUUCGGUUCGGCACUUCCGAAAUUCGGCACUUUGGUUUGGCACUUCCGAAAUUUACCAAAACAAUUGAUUAAUUAGAAAAGCAUUCACCACUCAGGUGUUCACUUAGUCCCUUCGGCGUCUCUUUAUUCAGAGUGCGCAUGUGCCAGUAUAUCGCAACCCGGAAGUUGCGUAUGGACGUCUUCCCUUGUUGCCCUGGUAACCCGAUGUAUCCUCGGGCUCAUAGCUACCGGGGUAAACAUAACGUAAUAUGCGCCGGGACCACAACCUAUCCUUCACGAUAAUACCUAAAACAGUGAUUUAAUAUGAUUUAGUGUAGCAUAACACCAUAGAACCUGAUUGAUUAAUAUCUUAGCUUGAACGGACUACAUUUCUUAGAGGACUAACAAAUACAUUGUUCGUGCUUAUCAUACUAUCAUACAAAGGUCUCACUAACAUACACAUCUUGCUGGAUUAACGUGUUUAUAUCCCACAUAACAGCUAGUAUCUAUUUUAAAAUGACACAAAUGCUUCUAUAUACAAUAAAGUGCCUAAAAGGGUUUUUAAAGUGACAACUGUGUGUUUUAUGUACAUUAAAGUGGUAAUCACAUAUGUUUUGCCUUCUACCCUGAUCAAGGUGAUUGAUUUAUAUAUUGCCUAUAUAUGUUUUAAAGUACCAUUAUAACAACACAUACUUAUUUAAAGUGCAUAUGAAAUUUAAAGUGACAAACGUGUGUUUAUAUACACGAAAAGUGCUUGCAAAAAAUGAAUUUUGUGCUAUUAUGUACAUUAAUGUACAUUAUUUAAGUGUAAAGUGCUAAGAUUUACCUCUAUGUACAUUAAAGUGCAUCAAUUAUUCUGUAAAGUGUCUAAUACUCUAUUU